rnacentral:lncRNA from 1 species
AUGCUUAUAAACCAGCUACAGUCCCUCGGGCCGAAACUCCCGAUGCUGGCGUGCAACACGGGGACCAAACCACCGGUACACUAGAGGAUGAGAUUUUUCGGGAAUUCCCGUAGGUCACGUGAUUCCCUCGGGAAUCCCACUGGACGGGAGUCAUUUUUUCUACCUCCGUGCUACAUGAGUAAAGCAAACAACGGAGGGAGAAAGCAGCCUUGGAGGAGAAACAUCCAGCAGUGCGAACAACCUCUUCAUAUGGAGUGCUUUGGCUCACACUAUCGGCGUUUUCUGUGAGUGUUGCAUGACUUUGUGUGAGCACAGAGAUGAACACAUUGUGUUACGUGUCACAUUGGAGAAUGCAUGCAUAUUGAAAUAAUUGCAAUGUGCUGAAAUUAAGAAUCAUAAAAAAAUCAUGAAGUAUGAGUUGGACUUUUUGUUUGAAGAAUUUGAUAAUACAUGAAUAAUAAGAAUGAUUUUAAAGUGGGGAAAAUUUGAAUGAAUGGAGAAGUUAAGGGCAUCUGCUCCAAAAACUGACAACUGUUCAAUAUACUUACAGAUACUAGUUAAGUAUAAGCAGGUUUCAGGUAUUUAUAUUAACCAGUUGUCAGUUUUUGAAGCAGAUCAGGGCACCUGCUUGUUCACCCCCAUAUUCCUCCAGCCUAGGCAGAACAUGCACAGGAGAGGUGUGCAGCAUACACAUCUCCUCCCCUGCUUCACCAGCCAGGAAACACAGAAAUAUAUGGAGUGUAUUGUUUUCCCCCCUGUACCUCAGUUAAUGAGCUAUAACUUGCACUUAUUCGUCUUUGUUGUGAACUAGUCUGUCUCAUGCAGCACCAUACAUGUUGGGCCUAAACUAGCCAACCGCACACCUGCUGAACAGCUCAACACUCACCAUUACCCUAAAUCAGUGGUUCUCAAAUCCAGUCCUCGAGCCCCCCAUCCUGCAUGUUUUGGAUGUUUCCCUGCUCCAACACACCUGAUUCAAAUGAUCAGCUCGUUAUUAAGCCAUUACAGAGCUUGAUAACGAGCUGAUCAUUUGAAUCAGGUGUGUUGGAGCAGGGAAACAUCCAAAACAUGCAGGACGGGGGGGCUCGAGGACUGGAUUUGAGAACCACUGCCCUAAAUGGAUAUUAUGUGAUGACCUUCAGGUAGGUAGCGGCAGAUACCAGGUAAGUUCAGCGGGUUUCAGGUAGGUAUAUUGAACAGUUUUCAGAUUUUUGGAUUUUUGGAUAAUUUCACCUGCUUGUCCACUUUACCCCCCCAGCCUCAAGGUGCUUGAGCUGAUGGGUCAAGGAGACAAGGGCAGAGUGGUGGGGGAAGAUACAGCAGCAGAAGAUGAGAGGCACAAUACGCUGUGAGAGUGGUGAGUCCCUACACUACAGGACUACAAUCACUACUACACUACAAAAUCCAUUUUGUAUAACAAUUUUUAAUAACAAAUUCAUACAGUUCUUGGAUUUUUGAUUUUUCAAGUCAUGCAAUUUUAUUUAAAUAAUAUAUGAUGGAACAGAUAUAUGUGGGAAAAAUAAUAAACAUUUAAAAUUGGUUUAAAUAAAUUCAUUGGGCUAAAGAUUAAGGUUUUUUUUGUACAGAACCAAUAUUGUAAGAUUUUCAAAUUUUAAUUUAAUACAUUUUUAAAAUAAGCACCACUAAAUGAAUUAAUAUCAAUCUAGAAUAAGUUCAUAACAUUUUUCUAAAAUUAACAAUUAAAAGCUUAACUAUUUACAGAGCAAGGUCAAUUCAUUUUAUCUAUUUACAAAAUCUCGACCACAUUCCCCUCCUCAAAAAUUAUUAUAAUUUUUUCUGGCAUAGUAGCCAAAGCAUCUGGGAAUUUUUCGUCCCACAUUUCUUUGGGUACAAACCAAUCGACAUUCUGGUCAUCCAGUAUCUGGAUACAGUCAUUCCCGUCAUCGCAGAAUCCUUUGAUUGACACCAGGAUCUGCUUGGUUGUCAUCUGCAGAAGAGAAAUAUUUUACACAGUGCACUCCAUCAUGUUUGGACCAAGGCAUAGGUUCAAUUUUACUGCUUAGAGAUUUUCUGCACACUUGAUUGUACAAUCAGAUCAGAGGCCUGUACUACGAAGCUGGAUUUGGUCUUAGCGAGAUAACUUCUGGAUAACUUCUGGGUUUUCCGUACUACGAAGGUGGAUCUCUUUUUAUCCGGGUCCGUUGCCCCGGUAACUUACGCGGAACGCCAAACCUACUCCGAAGCAGGUUAUGUUUCAGGAUAAGAUCUCAGCAGGUAUAAAAACCGCCCACUGACCAAUCGGAUCUCUUGGAAAAUGGCUUGCCCAAUCUUGCCGGAUCCCGGGGACAUCGUUGCACGGAUAGUGAGAGAAGCGCUUCGUCGAGAGCACUAUAUUCAUGAUCGUUCAUAUCCGUUUGAUUUACCUGAUGAUGUUCUCUAUGAACGUUACAGGUUUUCCUCGGACAGCCUCAAUAUUCAGGUAACAUGAAGUCUAAGCAAUGCACAAAUAUUUGCCAAGCUCCAGGUUACAAUUUCAUGCGGCAUAUCAGUCAUCAUUCAGAAUUUAUUGAAGCAGAUUAGAAAACUCUUAACCCCAAAUGUGUCUGCAGAUGACAUGUGACUAUCAGAUGAUGGAAAAAAAAAAAAGGCAGUGUGAGGAAAUCACUGUUAACGUGUUGAAAUGUGUACUAAUAAAAUCUUCCAAUAAACUAACAAACUACUUAAAAGGAUGUUUUUAGAUUUAUUUUUAUUUGCUCCCACGUACUCUUUCCCCCACUGCUGUUGUAUCUGAAAUAAUGAGGUCAUUGAUGGAGGUGAUCACUAGCAUGACAACAUAUUUGGGGGGCAUAAAUUUAUGAACGCACUAAUGUAAUUUACACAAUCAAUGAUUUUUUUGCCAGCAGUCCCUCCGGCUUUUAGCGGCUGUCCUGCUCCUCACUGCUCCUCGUAAAAUAAUGCUCUGUUCCUCGGCUGUGAAAAAUGAUGUGCAGCUUUCUCCAUUGUGGAGAUUGGUCUGGUGGCACUGACCUCACCCCCUUUACGUGUGCGCGCACAGAUCUGAAGUGGCCACACCUGGAUUCAGUUAUCGAGUUGAUAACCGGCUUCGUAGUACAACUGAUCGGGAUCGCGGAGAUCCGGUGAAGUUGAGCGAGUUGUCGCAGAGUUAUCCUGGAUGUGUUAAUCCAGCUUCGUAGUACAGGCCUCUGAUUAGAAUCAAAACAGUGAUCAUAAAGGGGGCAACAGGGCAUGGAAUUAAAUAAUAUGUGAAUGUCAGACUUACUUCCACCUCGGAGAAAUUUGUGCUGUGCAGCGAUAACCCAUACUCUGGGGAAUUUUUAAUGCGCAGGUGCGUCAUUUUACAUGGUGUUCCAGUGCAGAGGUCAACCAUUGUGGCCUCACGCCACAGGCAGACCUUGACCUCUGCUUCUCCCUAUAAUGAUAAAACAGGCCUCAUAAAAAGUGUAUAACUAACAGCUGUUAAUGCCUAAAUCUUCAUUCUACAUAUGAUUUCACUCUCAGUUUGCAUUGAGACUUUAGAUUAGAUUAGAUUAGAUUAGAUCAGAUCAGAUCAGAUCCGAUUAGAUUAGAUUAGAUUAGAUUAGAUUAGAUACUACUUUAUCUAUCCUUUUGGAAAGGUUUCCAAAAGAAGAAUAUUACUUACCUCUUUGAGCCCUAUGUUCACCAAAGGCACGGGUGGACCGUGUUGGCUUGUGAUCUGCAUGAUUUUACUGAUCUAAAUACACAGAUACACACAUUUUAAUACAUUUGCAUUUUGUGUGCUAUAAGGCUGAGGUUUUAGAAACCUUUUUAAGCAAGGAGACCAGGUGAUAUGGACUAUACAAAAACAGACCUCUGGAUAGGACAGACCCCAGAGGGGUUUUGACAGCCUUAACUGAGUAAUGAUGAACUGUUUGCAACAUUAACUGUCACCACAUCAACAACAAUAAUAAAAUGCUUACGCUUGUAACACAGCCCUCCACUGUGAUGAAUCCAUCCCUGAUAGCAGUGAUGUCUUUGAUUGACAGUUUCUGGCUUGGUGGGCAAAUCAUUUUUCUACCCUCCUCCUCUAGACUGGCCGGGACUUCCACAGGGGAGGUGUUAAAUAUGAUGGUGUCUUGGCGUGACAGCAUGGAGCGCCGGACACCGUACUUGGAAACACCAUAGUUUUUAACAAUAUAGCUGCGACCCUCGACUAUUUUAUCUGCCAGGUUUUCAAACAGGAUGAAUUUGGUGACUGACACCCCAUCUGAAACUGCAGCAGUGCAAUUCUUGUGCAGUUUGAGAGGGCGUGCCUCCCCCUCUGUAAAUUCCCAGGCAGCCGCCUUCAUUUGUGUUUGAAGGGCAAUGACUUUGAUCUUCAGGGGUGGUUGCCGCUGGUAAGGAGUAGAACUCUGGGCGAAAAUUGUAUGCAGAGACAUCCUGAAAAUAGAGACAAAUUGUGUUAAUGCCCGUCAAAGUGCUCAUUAAACAUGUUUAAGUUGCUUACAUCAGCAUUCACAUUGGAAUAUGAGUUUCCUGUUAAACUGACCAGGGCUGAGAAUUUUUACCCAGGACAACAGCACAGUAGGAGGGCUAAAACUGUUUUAAAUAUUACCUUUACUGUAAAUCUAUUACUUGUCUUAAAGACUGUAGUUUGUACCCUGUGUCAAUAGUUGGCGGUAAUGUGCCGGCAAGCUGUUUGCCAACCACCAAUAACACCAAAUAAACUACAUAUCCAAUCAUCCGGUCGAUGAAGAAGAGGAAGAUAGUAAACAUGGCUGUCGGGACGAAGUUUUUGUGCAUGUCACGGAGAGGAUAUAUUCAAAAACAAUUUAAAUGCGGGGAUAGAGGUAAGGUCAUUAAACCUGUUAGUUGCGUUGGUAGCGGUUAUAUAAAAGCAAUGAGAUGAAGUCAGUAUAAAUGCCAUUUUUGUUAGUAUUUGUCAGUUGUUCCGUUUUCAUAGACUACAAAGUAGCCGUUACAGUACAUUAGCAUAUUAACCUUACAGUACAAAGUAGCUAACUUAACGUCUGAUAACUAUCAGAAUAUCGGAUACACAGGGCCGUACUCUUUCAAUUACACUGGAGUUAUCAUAAUGUACAUUACACGUUUGUUACUUUUUACUAAAUUCAAUGUUUUUCUGUGGCUGUUGGCGCAACAUUGUAACCUGUAAGUAAGACGGCAUGAAACCCCUACUGGAUUUAAACUGUCAUUUCAUGUUCAAAGUUGUACAUUAAUCCACAUGAGUAAAUUCAUUGCAUCUUCUAUCAGUCUCUAUGGCAGGUGCUGCUUUGAGAGAGUCUUACUGUCCAUAGUGGUCAGUAUGACUCUCUCAAAGCAGCACCUGCCAUAGGAAUCAGGUAAGUACAUCAGGUACCUAUGUUAUUGAUGUUAUACACUGUGGCUGCGUGACUGACCUGGGAUGAGACAGCUCUAAACUUCACUAAAUAUGUCUAAUUUUCAGCAUCUUUGACUUUUCCACACAGCAACCAGUAGUGUGAUAUUUGAGUUUGUUAUCUGUAACACUGGUGUAACUGUUGUCUUUUCUCUCAACUCAUCACAGAAUCAGCUGGACAUAAGCCACAGAGCCAAACCCAGCAACCUGCAACCUUGGAGCCAUGUGAUCCCUGCUGAGCUUUGAACACCCCUCUGCAACCUUAUGGUCUUUAAGUAGCUCACAUCUUUCUGUAAAUAGAGGGUAUACAGUUUUUGAAUGUUUUUUUUUCCUUUGGUGUUUAAGUACCUCCUGUUUAACCAUGUCAGUUUAUUUGGCUUGUUGCGACAUCUACUAUUUAUCUCUACAGAAAGCGCCGCUUUGACUCUGCACCAGGGAAAAUGGAGCUCUUUUAUGCAUUAAGUAUCAGGACUAAACAGCCUCAGGUCAGAAGUGGAGAAACUACCCACAGAGACCAGAACUCCUCACUGCCCUCUUCACCUGCACCAGGUCUGUGAUAUUCUGAUAUGAAAAUGUGAAUCAGUAACAGGAGUGACUGCAAGUUUCAAUCAUGUGCCAUGCUCAGUGCUUCGAUUAGGUGAAGUUGGACCCAUUAUGAUAGCAGCAUCAUUCUGACAAGAAUCAACAUUACUCCACUGAAGCAGGACCCAAGCAUGCUGUAAAAAUUCUGGCAUUCUCAUCUUUCAGCACAUUAAUACUUUGCCAUAUUCCUGCAACAUGUCACUGAGCCACUCAAAGCCAAGCUUCCAGUCUGAGAAGGAGGUGCUGUUCAGAGGAGCAACAACUUGCUUCUCCCCACAUGCAGGACAUUAACCUGGUAAGUAUCCCUCUCUAGUCACCACACCAAUUGUUUGUAUUUUGUUUUUGGUCAGCUGUAUCACUGGUGUCACACCUUUGUCAACUCUCGCCUCUUCAGAUCCAGCUCAGCGGGAGUCAAAGUACCAAGCACAGCAAACAGACAACCCUGCAGCCAUGUGAGCUCUGCUGGGCGUCCAUCACUUCUUGAGCUGCAGCCCAACAAGAAUAAAGAUCAGCCCACCUGCUGCCUGUUUUAUCUGGCAGAUAAGUCAAGACCAAGCAUCCAUGGGACUCUUUUCUCUCCAUUCCCAUCACCCCAUCUAAGAACCAGGGUUCAGAACCCACCUGAGAAGCCCCCACCCACAAUGUAACACUAGAGAAUGCAAUUUCUGAAAGAAUUACUCUUGCUGAUUUAACUGACUCUGAACUGUGAUUGUUCAUGGCUGAAUAUUGAAGAUGGUUCGAAACAGAAAUUUCUCAUCACGUAGUUAUUGUCUCUCGUGUAUUUAUUGUCACUGAGACGGUAUGGGUUUUAUAUUAUUCAUAUUGUAGUUUCUACUUGGUUUUAUCCUUUUAUCAUUUUCAGGACCUCCAGUGUUUCCUCUGGUGGAGCCCUUGGCACCAGGAGCAGUGAUCGGCAGUGGUCACAGGGGCGAGUCAUGGGGUUCCUGGUGGAGGUUGGUGUCUGCCACAUCUCUCCUCUCGCCCUGCGUCCUGUGGCUAUGGGUGGCUCUCUGCUCCUGGUGCUGAUGGCUCUCUGAUGGUGCUGGUUCAUCUGUACUCUGCCUCAUGUUCACUGUCUUAGCGUCCAAACGUAUGGCUGCAUUACUGUGUGUGUGUGUGUGUGUGUGUGUGUGUGUGUGUGUGUGUGUGUGUCUGGCUUUAGGUGAGACUGUGUAUGUGACUGUUAACUGUGGGUUGUAUUGUUGUGUGGCAUGUGUUAGGGGGUGCAUUUAGGAUUGUUUUAGGUUUCUCAACAAACUGUAAAGUACUUUGUGUUAUGUUCUUUUGUAUGAAUAGCG